rnacentral:rRNA from 1 species
AGGGAACCGCCUGAACUGAAACAUCUAAGUAGGGCGAGGAAGAGACAUCAAACGAGAUUCCGUAAGUAGUGGCGAGCGAACGCGGAAGAGGGCAAACCGAGAGUAGAAAUACUUUCGGGGUACGGAGCGCAUUUAGGACUUAAGUUGUUAACCGAACGGCAUGGGAAGGCCGGUCAGAGAGUGUGAGAACCACGUAGGUGAAAACGACAAGAGCCGAGCGAAUUCCAGAGUACGGCCAGACACGUGAAACCUGGUCGGAAUACGGGGGGACCACCCUCCAACCCUAAAUACUACCCAGUGACCGAUAGCGUAUAGUACUGUGAAGGAAAGGUGAAAAGCACCCCGGGAGGGGAGUGAAAAAGAACCUGAAACCCUGUGCCUACAAGCACCUAGAGCGCGUCAAAGCGUGAUAGGGUACUUUUUGUAGAACGGUCCGGCGAGCGAUUGUAUGCAGCAAGGUUAAGGACUUAAGGUCUGGAGCCGAAGCGAAAGCGAGUUUGAAAAGGGCGUUAAGUUGCAUAUAAUGGGCCCGAAACCGGGUGACCUACCCAUGGUCAGGUUGAAGUGGAAGUAAAAUUCCAUGGAGGACCGAACCGACCUCCGUUGAAAAGGCGGCGGAUGAACUGUGGGUAGCGGAGAAAUUCCAAUCGAACCCGGAGAUAGCUGGUUCUCCCCGAAAUAGUUUUAGGACUAGCCUCAAGUUAGAUACCUGGAGGUAAAGCACUGAAUAGCCUAGCGGCCGAGAGGUUAGCGAAGCUUAUCAAACUCAGAAUGCCAGAGUAUUGAUGCUUGGGAGUCAGACAGUGUCAGAUAAAUGUCAUUGUCAAAAGGGAAACAGCCCAGAUCUACAGCUAAGGUCCCAAAGUCAGGUUAAGUGGAAAACGAUGUGAAGAUACGUAGACAACCAGGAUGUUGGCUCAGAAGCAGCCACUCAUUCAAAGAGUGCGUAAUAGCUCACUGGUCGAGCGUCUUUGCGCGGAGAAUUUAACGGGGCUAAACCUGACACCGAAGCUUAGGCAGCAUGUUUACAUGCUGGGUAGGGGAGCGUUGUAUACGCGGUGAAACAGUAGCGCAAGCGGCUGUGGAGUGUAUAGAAGUGAGAAUGCCGGAAUGAGUAGCGCGAAUGCAGUGAGAAUCUGCAUGGCCGAAAGCCUCAGGUUUCUGGAGGAAGGUUCGUCCGCUCCAGGUUAGUCGGGAGCUAAGGUGAGGCCUAACGGCGUAGCCGAUGCACAGACGGUAGAGAUUCCGUCACCACCAAAAGAGUUAAACACAGGGACACAUAUGAAGUCUCGGAGCCGGGUGUUGGUUCCGGUAGCGAUCGAGGGAAGUUAGUACCGAAGUCCGGGAUGGAAGAUGGCGAGAAAAGCUGUGUGUAUUUCUGCGGUGCCCGUACCGCAAACCGACACAGGUAGGUAGGAAGAAGAUUCUAAGGCCAACGGGAGAAGGGUUGUUAAGGAACUCGGCAAAUUGACCCCGUAACUUCGGGAGAAGGGGUGCUGCAGCAAUGCAGCCGCAGAGAAUCGGCCCAAGCAACUGUUUACCAAAAACACAGGUUUGUGCUAAAUCGAAAGAUGACGUAUACGAGCUGACGCCUGCCCGGUGCUGGAAGGUUAAGAGGAGAUGUGCAAGCAUUGAAUCGAAGCCCCAGUGAACGGCGGCCGUAACUAUAACGGUCCUAAGGUAGCGAAAUUCCUUGUCAGGUAAGUUCUGACCCGCA